GAAAGAAGGCCCUUGGUUUCGUAAAGCUCUUUCGUCGGGGAAGAAAAUGACUGUACCCGAAUAAGAANGUCCGGCUAACUUCGUGCCAGCAGCCGCGGUAAUAUAAC
rnacentral:rRNA from 1 species